CCGUUCCGGCGGAGGUGGGGCGGCCGUAGCGCUCGGUAGCGGGCCGUGCCGGACCGCCCCGUGUCCCCGUGUGCCCCCAGGAAGCUGGCGCUGCGCUACCACCCCGAUAAGAACCCAGACGACCCGGCGGCGGCCGAACGCUUCAAGGAGAUCAACAGCGCUCACGCCACGCUCAGCGACGCCGACCGGAGGCAGCUGUACGAUCAGUACGGAUCGCUGGGCCUCUACGUGGCCGAGCAGUUCGGAGACGAUGCCGUCCGUCACUACUUCCUCAUGUCCCAGUGGUGGUUCCAGGCCCUGGCACUGUGUUGUGGCGUGCUGACCUGCUGCUGCUGUUUCUGCUGCUGCUUCUUCUGCUGUGGGAGGUGCUGCCCGCCCCGCGAGGACGAGUCCUAUAAGUACGUCGACCCCAAGGACCUGGAGGCGGACGAUGGCGGCGACCCACAGAUCCCGGUGGAAGCGCAGCCCUCCCCAAGCAGCGCCCAGCCCCUGCCUGCUGCCGGAGCCAGGAGCGAGGCAUAGGGGCCGCCUAUGUGCCGGGGGAGGGGGACUGGGGGGGGAGAGCCUCCUCCUCGGC
rnacentral:lncRNA from 1 species